AUGAUGUCUGUUGGGAAUCACGUUCAGUAGCGUUCUCGUUCCCUCCUUCCGCUCCUCCCUCUCUCUUUUCCUCCCUCUCCUGGAAUUUGAAUUCAGGACGUUAAUCUUUUGAAGAAUUGUCACUGUGAAAUGAGAAGUAAGAAGUCCGUCUUAUUGGCUUAAUUCCGGUAAUGAGAAGCGCGAAGAAUAUCAUGCGUACCACACAUAAACCCCAGGCUAACCUGAAACCAACCCACACCACAUUCCCUUCUCUGGACCAUUCGAAAGCCUGCAGGUUGCCUAUAUGUUAGAAGCAUAUGGAAGUGGAUACCUUCACAGCGCACACACACAAGACCUACAGACUACACUAGAGCGCCCUUCUGCGGGCGCGAUGCAGUGCAUGACUACAUCGCACUGCUGUAAGUGGUUGGAGGACACGACAGUGGAUGAAUAAUAGCAUCAUGACUCACUAUAGGGUCACAUAAUGUAAUAGCCGAUGCUGUUACUUAGCGGGCGGCUGAAUGUAUGAAUAUGAGUGAACCUAAGUGGUCCAUAUUAUACUACCAUAUUAAUGGGACGUUGAUGAACAAGUGAUUAAUAUUCCUUAUACUAGGUUGCUGUAUCCAGUCAUAACAACCCUGGGCUCCACCCACAAGUUUACAGUAAUAACUAAGGGACAUUAGGCUGACAACUUCUAGGAUGAGAAGGCCCAAAACGUUAUGGUGACAGUCAACAGGAACGGCAGCAGGUGUGGAUUUGGAGAGGGUAAAGACUAGCAGAGAACUUGUGAUUCUGCUUGCAUCUUCAAUGUGCCCUUCGAGACAAAACAAUAUUCUGGGACAAAAAUAAAUCAAUAAAGGGAAGGACAUAUUAUUCUCCUCAUGGUGCACUUCUCAAGUCUUUAUCAAGCUGAUAUAGUAUUCACACUCAGCCUUUUCAGCCCCUGGAUUCUACUCCACCAGCGAGAUAAGAGGAGCCCUUUCCUUACCCGAGGAAUAAGAAUGCAGCGUCCGUCCCCAUCACACCGUUCAAAGAAACCCUGCAGUACUUUGGCUCCUCGUCCUGCCCGCCCUGGCACAAAUGUCACCCCAACCCGGCAAUAAAUCACAUAGUCCUGUGAUGUGUUUACUUAGUACAGUAAGGA